UUGGAUUUGGGUCACAACGCACUCCACUUGGAUAUCAAGUGCAUGACACUGUCUAAAGUGUAUGAGGUGAGAGAUAUGUAUAAACAUAUUGGUGGCAUCUAUCCUUUGAUGAUGAUUUGGCCUCCAACAUUCCGUGCGCUCAAGGGUGAUCUUGCAAGGUUUGCCUUGUGGCCCUCUAUAUGAUUUUUUUUUGAGUGAAGGCCAAAUAUGAUUUGCAUAGUGCUCUUGUUGAGGUUACAAAUCUUUGUAAUGUGCAUCAUGUUAAUAUCCUUUUCUAUGUUGUGGCAUGGUUUGGCCAUGUUCUUUAAAGUAGCUUUGGUCAAUUAGUGUGUCAUCCCAUCACAAUCGAGGAAACAAUUGCCAUUUCAUUUCUCCAUUGUUUUUGUUAAUGGUUCAGCAACCAUCCCACCAUUUAGUAUAUUCGCGGAAUGGUGGUAGAUAUAUAUGAUUGAUUCUUUAGGCCAUUUUACAUAUAUUUGUUAAGUGCCAUUUAAGAUGCUUUUCAUACCCUUAAGAUGGUUUUUAAACAGUAUCAUUUUGUAUGUGAGUAGUUGUUUUCUUGGGUUAGUGUAGCAGAGAAACUUCCGUAAUACGAGUGUUGCACCAGAGGAGAAUGGUGCCCUUUUAUGUGUGGGUGAGUGGUCAACGAGUUGAGGAUGAUAUUGUCGAUAUUCUAAGGGAAAUUAGAGAUGGUGAGGUUAUUCAUUGGAAGAAUCGAAAUUAAUUUCUUGCAUCUGCACUUUUCCUAUUCAUAAUAGAUUGUAUGAACUCGAGUUAUUCUGCAUGAGAUUGUUAACACUUAUUUCUAAUAGAAUGUUUUUGUGAUAUCGAAUCAGUUCUCCAUUUCUCUAUGGUGAAGCAUGCUGUUGCUCACACGGAUUUUAACUUUGGAUUAUGUAGUUUACACCGGCACAUAUGUGCUGGUUCAUGUUUUCAGAUUCAGAUACUAUCACAAUCAAGAUACUUUCGUCCUGCACACCAAGGGUAUACUCCAGUCUGAAAACACAGUUCUUGUGUGACCUGCUUUACCUUCCAUGAGCAGUAUUUGUUUCACUGUUCGGGCCAUCCAAAGAAAAAUUUGUUGGUUUGGGAUAGCAGAGCCUUUUAAUUAUCUGCAUUGCUUGAGCAAUUGUAUCAUUAUGCGCCGCACAAAAUUUGGCUGCUGUCGUACUACUACUUGUUUUGUCGAUUUUCAUUAUCUUGUGGUACAUAGUUACGUCCAUCCUGAUCAAUGCCUUUUCUGUUUUCCCUUUUUUGGAACAGAGAUGGCAUGUGAAGAACAGCCGUAUCAAGGAUGAGAAGGGAGUUGCUGGGUGGUAUCUACAUAUGUCAGUGAGAAUGUGAUCAUCAAGGAUGAGCUGAGCUACAUUUCCUGGUUACAUCAAUCACCUGGUCCAUCUUUUGACCUUCGGGCUUAAGUAGGGCAGUACAUUGGGUUAGUUAGUUUGUUCUUGCUUAAAUUGGAGACUCCUAAAGAGUCACACCCUGUGUUCAACUGCAAAAACAUUUUACAUUUAGGAACAGAGGUAGUAGUUCAGUGCCUUAUAUUCUUUUCUUUUGGAGUAAAAGUUGCUGCCUGUCUUGACGCUACUUGUCCUCCCAUUUAAAAUAAACUUCAACCGAAGGAAUCAAUUGACUGAAUUAUGC
rnacentral:lncRNA from 1 species